rnacentral:rRNA from 1 species
GGAGUCUAACAUGUGCGCGAGUCAUUGGGUUGUAAACCUAAAGGCGGAAUGAAAGUAAAGGGAGCUUUGCUUUUCUCUUAGGGAGGAAGGCCGCCGUGCCCUAAGGGGCGGCGGCCCGCACUCCCGGGGCGUCUAUCGCUCACAGCGAGCGGAGGCGCACCAAGAGCGUACACGUUAGGACCCGAAAGAUGGUGAACUAUGCCUGGUCAGGACGAAGCCAGGGGAAACCCUGGUGGAGGUCCGUAGCGAUUCUGACGUGCAAAUCGAUCGUCGGAGCUGGGUAUAGGGGCGAAAGACUAAUCGAACCAUCUAGUAGCUGGUUCCCUCCGAAGUUUCCCUCAGGAUAGCUGGUGCCCGGGGAAGAAGAGUCUCAUCCGGUAAAGCGAAUGAUUAGAGGCAUUGGGGCCGAAACGACCUCAACCUAUUCUCAAACUUUAAAUAGAUGAGAACUCCGGCUUGCUUAAAGCUGAAGCCGGAGAUUCG